GAUUCUACCCCCUCACCGUUCCACAUACGCAUCCACCUGCUCGGCCUCAUCCCCUUCUUCCACUUCACUCUCCUACUUCACUCCUCUCGCUUCCUCUCAAGCGUGUACCUAGAUCUGCGCUGCUCCUCAAAUCGCCGGUGAUUCGAGAUGGAGAAAACCGCGUCUAGCUGCGAUUGAUCUUCACGGCAGUUUUCCCCCUCGAUCCGCCCUCUAUGACUGCUGUAGGCACGCUGAAUCAUUCCCUCACGUUCGGUUCUUCUUAAAAGGUUUCGCCAGAUCAUCUUGGAUACUGUGUUUGAGAAAGUUGGCCUUCCAUCUGCUGCCUACUCUGCACCGAGCUCCUCUUCCAGUUCAGGCAACACCAUGGCUGAUGGAUCCUCCGCGAUGGCAACCUCGUCCGUGAACGUCCCGAUAGAUGAUGGGCUACUGAUCAAGAGCCUUCCUCCGUUGUCUCCAAUCUGCGUCACCAUCAGCAAGCAAUUCAUUCUUGAACGAGCAAUUGAAACAAUUGGUGGCACACUCCAUCCAUUCACUUUUACCGGUACAAGCAGCGAUGAUGUCGACGUCUCUCUCUCCAUUGACCUACCUCCCCACAGCAAAAGCAUGUAAGCACAAGAAAGGAAUUCCAUGCCCCACACAUCGAAUCUACCUGUGUUGCUACCCUCGUGUACCUACAGAAAACAGGUAUAGUCACAAUCGAUGAUGCAAACUUUGCAGAGCUGAAAAUAUGCAAAAGAAAACUUCAGGCUGAGGAGUUCUGGUCCUCGGCUCUCUAUGAUAAGGCUAACGCCCUGGGCAACCAGCUCUCUUUACUGACUGCCGCCAAGCAGAAACCCCAGCCUGAGAAUAAACAAGGAGCUACUUUGUUGCCUCCUAACCAUCAUAAUACUCCACAGACCAGCCAAAAAGUGCUUUCCGAGGUAAACCACGGUACAAUACUUUCAUCCCUCUGUGUUAUCCUCCAGUGCUUAAUGCUCGUUUCCCUUAAGCAUUGUUCAUCCACAGCAUGCCACUGAUAGAGAAACCACAUUAACCCCUGUCACAGAAACAAACAAUAAGUACUUUCCAUUACAUUGCCACACAACGCCGCUGCAAGUUCUAUGGGCUAACCACCUAUUACUUGUCGUCAGCAUCCACCAUGUUCCUUCUAAAGACGGCAAAAAGAGGAGGACCGCCCGCAAGGUGUUGUUCCCUGGAAAAUAAGGUGAACAUGAAUUAUAUCACAAACCCGUCUCAAAAAUCUUUACCCAUUGUCGUUCACGAGCUCAUAUGUUUC